GGAUUCCUGCACUACCGAUGGAAUGAAGCAGUGACACAGAAGGAUAACUCGAGCAGGGUGAUGGUCAACCCUGUGCAAGCAUUGAGGUUGGGUUGUAGUGAAGUACGCAAUCCUAUAAGCUGAGGUGUGAUGCGGACCGAAAUUUCAGUAGGGAAGCGAGUGAGUUCACGCUGGCGAGAAAAGCUGCUAGUACAUCCAAAGGUACCCGUACCGGAAACCGACGCAGGUGGGCGAGGAGAGAAUCCUGAGACGAACGGGAGAACCCUUGUUAAGGAACUCGGCAAAAUGACCCCGUAACUUCGGGAUAAGGGGUGCCUGCGAGAGCAGGCCGCAGAGAAUAGUCACAAGCGACUGUUUAGCAAAAACACAGGUAUCUGCGAAAGCGAGAGCUGACGUAUAGGUGCUGACACCUGCCCGGUGCUGGAAGGUUAAGGGAACAUGUUAGAGCAAUCGAAGCAUCGAACCGAAGCCCCAGUAAACGGCGGCCGUAACAAUAACGGUCCUAAGGUAGCGAAAUUCCUUGUCGGGUAAGUUCCGACCCGCACGAAUGGUGUAACGACUUGUGAGCUGUCUCAACAGGGGGCCCGGUGAAAUUGAAGUAUGGGUGAAGAUGCCCAUUACCCGCGACUGGACGGAAAGACCCCGUAGAGCUUUACUGCAGCCUGAUAUUGAGUUUCGGUAACUGAUGCACAGGAUAGGUGGGAGUCUGAGAGACACGGGUUUCGGCUCGUGUGGAGACGGUGUUGGGAUACCACUCUUCGGUUACUGAAAUUCUAACAUAGCUCUGUGAAACCAGAGGAUGGACAGUGUCAGGUGGACAGUUUGACUGGGGCGGUCGCCUCCGAAAGAGUAACGGAGGCGCCCAAAGGUACCCUCAGAAUGGAUGGAAACCAUUCGAAGAGCGCAAAGGCAGAAGGGUGCCUGACUGCGAGAUUGACAAAUCGAGCAGAGACGAAAGUCGGGCUUAGUGAUCCGGCGGUAUUGAGUGGAAAAGCCGUCGCUUAACGGAUAAAUCUACCUCGGGGAUAACAGGCUGAUCUCCCCCAAGAGUCCACAUCGACGGGGAGGUUUGGCACCUCGAUGUCGGCUCGUCGCAUCCUGGGGCUGAAGCAGGUCCCAAGGGUUUGGCUGUUCGCCAAUUAAAGCGGCACGCGAGCUGGGUUCAGAACGUCGUGAGACAGUUCGGUCCCUAUCCAUCGUGGGCGUAGGAGUCAUGAGAGGAGCUGUUCCUAGUACGAGAGGACCGGAAUGGACGCACCACUGGUGCAACUGUUGUCGUGCCAACGGCAUAGCAGGGAAGCGAAGUGCGGAUGGGAUAAACGCUGAAGGCAUCUAAGCGUGAAGCCCACCUCAAGAAUAAGACUCCACAAUAGACCCCUGGAGGACUACCAGGUAGAUAGGUCAUCGGUGGAAGCGCUGUAAGGCGUGUAGCUUGAUGAUACUAAUCGGUCGAAAGCUUC
rnacentral:rRNA from 1 species